UAGGGAAUCUUCGGCAAUGGACGAAAGUCUGACCGAGCAACGCCGCGUGAGUGAAGAAGGUUUUCGGAUCGUAAACUCUGUUAGUAGAGAAGAACGUUGGUGAGAGUGGAAAGCUCAUCAAGUGACGGUAACUACCCAGAAAGGGACGGCUAACUACGUGCCUG
rnacentral:rRNA from 1 species